rnacentral:lncRNA from 1 species
CCGGGCGUCUCCUGCUGAAGCGUUGUGGGGGCGGUGGCGAGCCUGUGCACAGAGCGGGCAGAAACUGGGCUCCUGGCCGGGUCGCGCAGGCCUGGGUGUGGACCCAGGGCAGGUUCUGAAGUGGCUAAAGAGGAGGCGAUCAUCUAGGGGCCAGAAGGAGACCUCCUGGACGACGGCCGGAGGGAGCGUUACAGUCUGGCCACAUGCAGCUCACAGACAAGACCCUCUGAUGGCUUUUCUUCAGAGCAGAACGCUCCAUCCUGCCCAAGGAAGAAGGCGCAGAGGAGCCGGAUCAGCCCGGGCUGCUGUCCCCUGCUCACAGCCAGCAGGGCACCCAGGUGGGCUCUGGAAGGAGCCCGCCGGGGCAGAGGGGCCACUGGGAAUUUUGAUGAAAGAGGCAGGAGGUGGGGCUCGCACACAGGAGACUCAGAUUGUCACCCAUCACAGGCACGUGUGGGCCCGGGAGGACUCGGUUCCCACCAGGAGCACCGGGAGUCCCGAGCUGCGGGCUUUGGCCACAUCUUUGUGACAAGGCAGCAGUUCCUUCUUUCCCGAGGACAUGGGGACCAGCCUGUGAUCUCCACGGUGACAGACGUCACUCUCCUGGUUCAAGCUGCUGACCAAGUGGGGCCAAUGGGGAGAGUCCCAUUUCAAAUUUCCACCUGGACUCCCAGACCCUGACUCUGGUGGAGACCCUCCCCUGGUGCCAUCAGGACAAACCUGCCCCCAGGUAAAAGUCUCAGAGGGCAAAGGGUGCACAUCACCACUGAUCAGGACUCUUGGACACACGAUUUUGUUGCACCUCAUCCCCACCAACACGCAGGUCUCCACGCCGCAGCCCUGGCCCAGCACGACUCUCCCCUGCCUUUCACCAUGGUCUGUGCUCAGCACACCGAAUCUGAGACUACUUGGUGUGGCGGCUGAUUCUGAUGAUAACG